UACGUAGGGUCCGAGCGUUGUCCGGAAUUACUGGGCGUAAAGAGCUCGUAGGUGGUUUGUCGCGUUGUUCGUGAAAACUCACAACUCAAUUGUGGGCGUGCGGGCGAUACGGGCAGACUUGAGUACUGCAGGGGAGACUGGAAUUCCUGGUGUAGCGGUGGAAUGCGCAGAUAUCAGGAGGAACACCGGUGGCGAAGGCAGGUCUCUGGGCAGUAACUGACGCUGAGGAGCGAAAGCAUGGGGGAGCGAACAGG
rnacentral:rRNA from 1 species